CAGUAGCCGCGGUAAUACGUAGGGUGCGAGCGUUAAUCGGAAUUACUGGGCGUAAAGCGUGCGCAGGCAGUUUGUUAAGACAGAUGUGAAAUCCCCGGGCUCAACCUGGGAACUGCAUUUGUGACUGGCAAGCUAGAGUGUGGCAGAGGGGGGUGGAAUUCCGCGUGUAGCAGUGAAAUGCGUAGAUAUGCGGAGGAACACCGAUGGCGAAGGCAGCCCCCUGGGCCAACACUGACGCUCAUGCACGAAAGCGUGGGGAGCAAACAGGAUUAGAUACCCGCGUAGUCCCUGUCUCUUAUAA
rnacentral:rRNA from 1 species